rnacentral:ncRNA from 2 species
GGGUCGGAAUCGGGAGAAUCCGGGGGCAACCCCGGUGCCGAAGGAGCAACCGCCCCGGUAAACUCUCAGGCGCAAGGGACCGUUCCGACCGA